rnacentral:rRNA from 1 species
UACGUAGGGUCCGAGCGUUGUCCGGAAUUACUGGGCGUAAAGAGCUCGUAGGCGGUUUGUCGCGUCUGCUGUGAAAACCUAAGGCUCAACCUUGGGCUUGCAGUGGGUGCGGGCAGACUAGAGUGCGGUAGGGGUGACUGGAAUUCCUGGUGUAGCGGUGAAAUGCGCAGAUAUCAGGAGGAACACCGGUGGCGAAGGCGGGACUCUGGGCCGAUACUGACGCUGAGGAGCGAAAGCGUGGGGAGCAAACAGG